rnacentral:rRNA from 1 species
CAGUCGCCGCGGUAAUACGGAGGGUGCAAGCGUUGUCCGGAUUUAUUGGGUUUAAAGGGUGCGUAGGCGGCUAUUUAAGUCAGCGGUGAAAGACUCCGGCUCAACCGGAGCAGUGCCAUUGAUACUGGAUAGCUUGAGUGUUGGAGGGGUACAUGGAAUUGAUGGUGUAGCGGUGAAAUGCAUAGAUACCAUCAGGAACACCGAUAGCGAAGGCAUUGUACUGGCCAACAACUGACGCUGAGGCACGAAAGCAUGGGGAGCGAACAGGAUUAGAGACCCCUGUAGUCCCUGUCUCUUAUAC